rnacentral:rRNA from 1 species
GAGAAGACUUUAGAUAUGAUCCAGAGUACCACGGGACACGUGAAACCCUGUGGGAAGCAGGAGGGACCACCCUCCAAGGCUAAAUACUACCUAGUGACCGAUAGCGUAUAGUACCGUGAGGGAAAGGUGAAAAGAACCCCGGGAGGGGAGUGAAAUAGAACCUGAAACCCUGCACUUACAAGCUGUGGAAGCACAUUUCUUGUGUGACCGCGUACUUUUUGUAGAACGGGCCAACGAGUUACGUUAAGUAGCAAGGUUAAGCACUUAAGGUGCGGAGCCGUAGCGAAAGCGAGUUUUAACUGAGCGUUCAGUUACUUGACGUAGACCCGAAACCGGGCGACCUACCCAUGAGCAGGAUGAAGCGAAAGUAAAAUUUCGUGGAGGUCCGAACCCACGAGCGUUGAAAAGCUCGGGGAUGACUUGUGGGUAGCGGUGAAAUUCCAAUCGAGCCCGGAGAUAGCUGGUUCUCCCCGAAAUAGCUUUAGGGCUAGCCUCAAGGUGAGAGAUACGGAGGUAGAGCACUGAAUGUCCUAGGGGGUAUUGCACCUACCGAAGACUAUCAAACUCCGAAUGCCGUCAUCUUAUACUUGGGAGUCAGACUGUGGGUGAUAAGAUUCAUAGUCGAAAGGGCAACAGCCCAGAUCGUCAGCUAAGGUCCCUAAAUGUAAGUUAAGUGGUAAAGGAUGUGGGAUUGCACAGACAACCAGGAUGUUGGCUUAGAAGCAGCCACUCAUUCAAAGAGUGCGUAAUAGCUCACUGGUCGAGUGAUCCUGCGCCGAAGAUUUCCGGGGCUAAAACUUACUACCGAAGCUACGGCAUCAGUAAUGAUGGGUAGGGGAGCUUCCCAUACGGGUUGAAGCAUGACCGUAAGGACAUGUGGACAGUAUGGGAGUGAGAAUGUUGGCAUGAGUAGCGAGAUGUGGGUGAGAAUCCCACAGGCCGUAAACCCAAGGUUUCCAGGGGAAGGUUCGUCCGCCCUGGGUUAGUCGGGACCUAAGCUGAGGCCGAAAGGCGUAGGUGAUGGACAACAGGUUGAUAUUCCUGUACUACCGAUAACCGUUUGAGAGAAGGGAUGACACAGUAGGAUAAGCUAAGCACACUGUUGGUUAUGUGUGCCCAAGCAUUGAGGCAGUCAAAGUAGGCAAAUCCGCUUUGAUAAUGCUGGGAUGUGAUGGGGAGCGAAAUUUAGUAGCGAAGUAGCUGAUUUCACACUGUCAAGAAAAGUCUCUAUCGAGGUUAAAGGUACCCGUACCGCAAACCGACACAGGUGGGUGAGGAGAGUAUCCUAAGGCCAGCGAGAGAACUGUUGUUAAGGAACUCGGCAAAAUGACCCCGUAACUUAGGGAUAAGGGGUGCCACCAUCAGGUGGCCGCAGAGAAUAGGCCCAAGCGACUGUUUACCAAAAACAUAGGUUUCUGCUAAGUCGCAAGACGAUGUAUAGGAGCUGACGCCUGCCCGGUGCUGGAAGGUUAAGGGGAUCUGUUAGAGCAAUCGAAGCAGUGAACUUAAGCCCCAGUAAACGGCGGCCGUAACUAUAACGGUCCUAAGGUAGCGAAAUUCCUUGUCGGGUAAGUUCCGACCCGCACGAAAGGCGUAACGAUUUGGGCACUGUCUCAACAACAGACUCGGUGAAAUUGUAAUUCCGGUGAAGAUGCCGGAUACCUGCGACAGGACGGAAAGACCCCAUGGAGCUUUACUGUAGCUUGACAUUGGGUCUUGGUACUACAUGUACAGGAUAGGUGGGAGGCUUUGAAACCAGGACGCCAGUUUUGGCGGAGCCAUCCUUGGGAUACCACCCUUGUAGUACUGGGACUCUAACCAUAGGCCAUGAAUCUGGUCUUGGGACACUGUCAGGUGGGCAGUUUGACUGGGGCGGUCGCCUCCCAAAAGGUAACGGAGGCGCUCAAAGGUUCUCUCAGUACGGUCGGAAAUCGUACGUAGAGUGUAAAGGCAAAAGAGAGCUUGAUUGCAAGACAUACAGGUCGAGCAAGGAUGAAAAUCGGACUUAGUGAUCCGGUGGUUCUGCGUGGAAGGGCCAUCGCUCAACGGAUAAAAGCUACCCUGGGGAUAACAGGCUUAUCUCCCCCAAGAGUCCACAUCGACGGGGAGGUUUGGCACCUCGAUGUCGGCUCAUCACAUCCUGGGGCUGUAGUAGGUCCCAAGGGUUGGGCUGUUCGCCCAUUAAAGUGGUACGCGAGCUGGGUUCAGAACGUCGUGAGACAGUUCGGUCCCUAUCCGUCGCAGGCGUAGGAAAUUUGAGAAGACCUGUCCUUAGUACGAGAGGACCGGGAUGGACGUACCUCUGGUGUACCAGUUGUCCUGCCAAGGGCAUGGCUGGGUAGCUAUGUACGGAAUGGAUAAGCGCUGAAAGCAUCUAAGCGCGAAGCCAACUUCAAGAUAAGAUUUCCCACCGCAAGGGUAAGACCCCAGAAAGACUAUCUGGUUGAUAGGUCGAAGGUGUAAGUGCAGCAAUGUAUUUAGCUUAUCGAUACUAAUAGGUCGAGGACUUGACCAA